rnacentral:lncRNA from 1 species
GCUCUGCCCAGUAGAGUCGCUAACCGUUGCCCUUUAUCUGUGCUCCAUCCUUUGUGGCAUUGAAGUGUGACACUGUCUAUCAGCUCCUCUCCUCCUGGGUCCAGCUAGCAUUAGCUCUUCAGUGAGGUUGGCUGGUUCAGUUGACAGCAAGAAGAUAAAAGUAUUAGUGGUGCUGUGAGUGAGGAAGAAACUGAGAUAAACAAAGACAUUAGCCUGCCACUUUUAGUGGAAGGUAGCCGUUAAAGGAGAGAAUCUUGUUGUACAUUAAUUGGAGAAGAUGAAGGUAACUGUUUUGAUAUUAAGAGUAUUUGACUAAAAUGGGUUACCUGGACCUCAUCUACCGUGACCCUCUUUCAUGGGAUGAUUCUUUCAAAUAGAAGACUCUGAAUUAGCUUCCAGACUUUUUCUAUUUUCUCACCCACGUGUGUUGUUCAGGUGCAUUUUCAAGAUUUAAUCAGUGAAGGUAGUUAACCUUCUCUUCAUGCUUCUUCCUCUACUAGUGAACAUUUAGUUUCAAUGGGGACUUGCUUACAUCUAGC